rnacentral:rRNA from 1 species
AACUGCGAAUGGCUCAUUAAAUCAGUUAUCGUUUAUUUGAUAGUACCUUACUACUUGGAUAACCGUGGUAAUUCUAGAGCUAAUACAUGCUAAAAACCCCAACUUCGGGAGGGGUGUAUUUAUUAGAUAAAAAACCAAUGCCCUCCGGGGCUCCUUGGUGAUUCAUAAUAACUUCUCUGAUCGCAUUGGCCUUGCGCCGGCGACGGUUCAUUCAAAUUUCUGCCCUAUCAACUUUCGAUGGUAAGGUAUUGGCUUACCAUGGUGUCAACGGGUAACGGGGAAUUAGGGUUCGGUUCCGGAGAGGGAGCCGGAGGAACGGCUACCACAUCCAAGGAAGGCAGCAGGCGCGCAAAUUACCCAAUUCCAACACGGAGAGGUAGUGACAAUAAAUACUGAUACAGGGCUCUUUUGGGUCUUGUAAUUGGAAUGAGUACGAUUUAAACCUCCUAACGAGGAACAAUUGGAGGGCAAGUCUGGUGGACAUUCAGCUCCCAUAUUGCUGACGCCAGCGAUAGUCAGGCACCGCAAGGUGUUAUGCCGGCUAGUCGAGUACCUAUAUCAUGAUGGGCAGGUACCGGCAAGACAACCUGGAUCGGGGAAGGCUACGGCAUUACGAUGCUAUGCUAAUCCCGAGCAGAGCUACCGCGAAGCGAUUUGCGAAUGGCCUGUGUAGAGCGCGGAAAGGUGUCGGCCAGCUCUCGUAGUUGGCUUAAGGGACGUGCCAUUCCCAUCCGAAAGGGUGGCUGCUAGCAUAAGCGCCCAUCACGCAAGGGCUAGCAGGUUUAAACUUUUGGACAAGAAAAGAUAAGAUGCAGGGGAUCACUUGCGUUUCUUGUCUCUUGUCAAUCCUAGUUUGAAUCAUUAUAGGCCAGCAGCCGCGGUAAUUCCAGCUCCAAUAGCGUAUAUUAAAGUUGUUGCAGUUAAAAAGCUCGUAGUUGAACCUUUGGCCUGGCUGGCAGGUCCGCCUCACCGCGUGCACUUGACCGGCCGGGCCUUUUCUUCUGGAGAACCGCAUGCCCUUCACUGGGUGUGUUGGGGACCAGGACUUUUACUUUGAAAAAAUUAGAGUGUUCAAAGCAGGCCUUUGCUCGAAUACGUUAGCAUGGAAUAAUAGAAUAGGACGUGCGGUCCUAUUUUGUUGGUUUCUAGGACCGCCGUAAUGAUUAAUAGGGACAGUCGGGGGCAUCAGUAUUCAAUUGUCAGAGGUGAAAUUCUUGGAUUUAUUGAAGACUAACUACUGCGAAAGCAUUUGCCAAGGAUGUUUUCAUUAAUCAGUGAACGAAAGUUAGGGGAUCGAAGACGAUUAACACCAUUAUCUGGUCGUUAAGAGUGGCGAGGAGACCCGCUGCUAGUUUGCUUGGGGCAAGCGACAUCGUCGAAUUGCCGGGGAACCCUUUGUAAGCCAAACUACCGCCUUGCUCUGCGAAAGCACUGCCUGGGCACCCGGGAGAGAGACCCGCGGGUAUGGUAAUAACGUUUGGUGCGAGUGCGAGUACGCUCGGGAGGCAAUCCGCAGCCAAGCCCCUUCCGCUGCCAUGCAGCCAUGGGGAAGGUUCACUGACUAAGUGACGAUGGGCAACCGAGUUGGUUGCUUAAGAUAUAGUCGAGACCGCCUGCGAAAGCUUGCGGAGAUGCAACGCAGAUACCGUCGUAGUCUUAACCAUAAACUAUGCCGACUAGGGAUCGGGCGGUGUUUCUAUUGUGACCCGCUCGGCACCUUACGAGAA